UCACACACAUGCCUCUCCAGCAUCACGCUUCCUGCCACUCUAUAACCCCUGUCUGAAAUUAGGACCCAGUACACUGUUAGUCUCCCCAGCUACAAAUAGCUGAUGACGCUACUUUUCUAAACGGGGCACUGCCCACCACAACUGUUCAUUAGGAACAUGAUACCGGACAUGUUCAUUGAGGUGCUGGUAGAGAAUAUAAUAUAUUAUAAGAGUGAUGGAUUGAAAUCUGCCACACAAGUUCUACCCUUGCUUUGUCCUUGUUUGGAGCCUAUGUAGGGGAGAAUGGGAGUCUGAUCGCAUCAUCUGCAGCGGCAUCACCAGGAACUAGUUACAUACUGCAAGAGGUCGAAGCAGUGGGUGGUGAAGAACAUCGCCAAAUCCUGCUAAACCAGCUGCAAUUACCCAUACACAAGAAGAUUUUCACCAGCUGAAGAACAUUCUGGAACCUGCCUGGAACAUUCAACCAACACAAUAUACAACAUCCAUAUUCAGCUAGACUGAUGUUGUAGUAUAAUAUAGAAUGCCUAGUAUUCUCACAACUGCAUUGUGGUUUAUAUAUACAGUAUAU